rnacentral:lncRNA from 1 species
AGCUUAUUAUAACAGUCACUCAGGUAUGUAGAAAUACAGAAUCCAUUAUCAGUUAAUAGUCAACACAUAAUCCUUAGCAACGGCGCUACUGCAGUGUCACCGUUACCAUGUUAUGAAAUCGAUAGUAAAGUGGGUCUGUACAUGACAAACAAAAACAAGUAUUGUACUAUACAUAGCGUAUCCUCUUAAAGCAUCGGUAAAGUCAUAACUUCUUAAGAUGAUUCCAUUUCUCGUGUGGAACAUAUAUCAGGUUCGUGUCUCCAAAAUGUG